GCGCAAACCAACAGAUUUACUUCGGUAAUGACGUUGGGAAAGCGAGCGGCGGAUGGGUGAGUAACACGUGGGGAACCUGCCCCUAAGUCUGGGAUACCAUUUGGAAACAGGUGCUAAUACCGGAUAAGAAAGCAGAUCGCAUGAUCAGCUUUUAAAAGGCGGCGUAAGCUGUCGCUAAGGGAUGGCCCCGCGGUGCAUUAGCUAGUUGGUAAGGUAACGGCUUACCAAGGCAACGAUGCAUAGCCGAGUUGAGAGACUGAUCGGCCACAUUGGGACUGAGACACGGCCCAAACUCCUACGGGAGGCAGCAGUAGGGAAUCUUCCACAAUGGACGCAAGUCUGAUGGAGCAACGCCGCGUGAGUGAAGA
rnacentral:rRNA from 1 species